UUUUCUUUAUAAAAUUUGGCAGGCUUAUCAAUCACAUCUCAAACUAGCAGUCAAUCAAAUUCACUGUGGCAGGUUACAAAGGAAAUUCAAUUAUUUACCACCAAAUGUCCUUGAACAUUAAGGUCAAUGAGGAUGCAAGCAUGCUUUUUUUGUUCCUUCCUGUCUACUCAAAGUAGUUUUUCCCUCCAGUAAGAAAGCUAGACUACAGCAAAUGAACACAUACUAAUUUUCCC
rnacentral:lncRNA from 1 species